rnacentral:rRNA from 1 species
UUUUUGAAUAAUAAUUUAAAGUUUAAUCUGCCCAGUGUAGCAAUAAAUGGCCGCGGUAUUUUGACCGUGCAAAGGUAGCGUGAUAAUUAGUUUUCUUAAUUAGGAUCUGGUAUGAAUGAUUGGACGAGAGAGUUUCUGUCUCAAGGGGAUUAAUUUUGAAUUUAAUUUUUAAGUAAAAAAGCUUAAAUUUUUGUAAAAGACGAGAAGACCCUAUAGAGUUUUAAUUUGUGAGUGAUGAAGUUAUUUUUAGUAUAAUUAAAGUUUUAUUAUUUAUUUUUUUUGGUUGGGGUGAUAAAAAGAUUAGUAGAACUCUUUUUUAAUUAAACAAUGAUUUUUGAUUGUUCGAUCUAUUUUAAUAAUUUAUAGAUUAAAUUACCUUAGGGAUAACAGCGUAAUUUUUAAGAAAGUUCAUAUUUAAAUAAAAGAUUGCGACCUCGAUGUUGGAUUAAAAUAUUAUUUCUGGUGCAGAAGCU